AACAUUUUUAACAGCAGGGUUCCUAUUUUCCCCUUCUUGAUUAAGUGUAUUGAUCACCCUGCAAUCAAUAUUAUGUAUCUGAGUGUGUGUGUGUGUUAUGGGGGAAAGGGGUUCUUUAAAAUUUCUGCGGUUUGUGGCUUUUUCUUCCAUACAUUAGUUCCCACCAUCGCAUGCCCAGGGACCACUGCCUGGCAUCAUCGCACGCUGGGAUCAUUGGGGGAGGGUAGUGAAGCUCACCACUGUCCUUUGUUUUGGAGAUUCUUAUUUUUGCAUAAGUAGUCCAUCCUAUACAGAUAGCUGACUACCUGUAUUUCCCUUUCCUCUAUGGCUGCAGGUGUGAAUAAGCUGCAUCUCCCCAUUGGUAAACAGUAAUAAACAAAAUUUU